AGUCGAGAAUCUUCGGCAAUGGACGCAAGUCUGACCGAGCGACGCCGCGUGCGGGAUGAAGGCCUUCGGGUUGUAAACCGCUGUCAGUGGGGAGGAAGGCCGUGUGAAGAGCAUGGUUUGACCUAUCCGCAGAGGAAGUGUGGGCUAAGCUCGUGCCAGCAGCCGCGGUAAGACGAGCCACACAAACGUUAUUCGGAAUUACUGGGCUUAAAGGGUGCGUAGGCGGCGCGGAAAGUUGGGUGUGAAAUCCCUCGGCUCAACCGAGGAAUUGCGCUCAAAACUACCGUGCUCGAGGGAGAUAGAGGAGUGCGGAACUUACGGUGGAGCGGUGAAAUGCGUUGAUAUCGUAGGGAACACCGGUGGCGAAAGCGGCACUCUGGAUCUCAUCUGACGCUGAUGCACGAAAGCUAGGGUAGCAAA
rnacentral:rRNA from 1 species